rnacentral:rRNA from 1 species
UAGACCCGAAACCAGGCGAUCUAUCCAUGAGCAGGUUGAAGGUUGGGUAACACUAACUGGAGGACCGAACCCACUGUCGUUGAAAAGCCAGGGGAUGACUUGUGGAUAGGGGUGAAAGGCUAAUCAAGCCUGGUGAUAGCUGGUUCUCCCCGAAAGCUAUUUAGGUAGCGCCUCGGACGAAUACCAUUGGGGGUAGAGCACUGUUUCGGCUAGGGGGUCAUCCCGACUUACCAAACCGAUGCAAACUCCGAAUACCAAUGAGUACUAUCCGGGAGACAGACUGCGGGUGCUAACGUCCGUAGUCAAGAGGAAAACAAUCCAGACCGCCAGCUAAGGCCCCAAAAUCAUAGUUAAGUGGGAAACGAUGUGGGAAGGCAUAGACAGCUAGGAGGUUGGCUUAGAAGCAGCCACCCUUUAAAGAAAGCGUAAUAGCUCACUAGUCGAGUCGGCCUGCGCGGAAGAUGUAACGGGGCUAAAACUAUGUGCCGAAGCUGCGGAUGCAUAAUUUAUUAUGCGUGGUAGGGGAGCGUUCUGUAAGCCGAUGAAGGUGUAUUGAGAAGUAUGCUGGAGGUAUCAGAAGUGCGAAUGCUGACGUGAGUAACGACAAAACGGGUGAAAAACCCGUUCGCUGAAAGACCAAGGGUUCCAGUCCAACGUUAAUCGGGGCUGGGUGAGUCGACCCCUAAGGCGAGGCCGAGAGGCGUAGUCGAUGGGAAAUUGGUUAAUAUUCCAAUACUUCUGUGUAAUGCGAUGAGAGGACGGAGAAGGUUAAGUCAGCCUGGCGUUGGUUGUCCAGGUGGAAGGUUGUAGGCAUGCAUCUUAGGCAAAUCCGGGGUGCUCUAUGCUGAGAACUGAUAGCAAGCUGUACUUGUACAGUGAAGUGGCUGAUACCAUGCUUCCAGGAAAAGUCUCUAAGCUUCAGUUACACAGGAAUCGUACCCGAAACCGACACAGGUGGUCAGGUCGAGUAGACCAAAGCGCUUGAGAGAACUCUGCUGAAGGAACUAGGCAAAAUGGUACCGUAACUUCGGGAGAAGGUACGCUGUUGUCGGUGAUGGAACUUGCUUCCUGAGCUGAUGACAGCCACAGAAACCAGGCCGCUGCAACUGUUUAUUAAAAACAUAGCACUCUGCAAACACGAAAGUGGACGUAUAGGGUGUGAUGCCUGCCCGGUGCUGGAAGGUUAAUUGAUGGGGUUAGCGUAAGCGAAGCUCUUGAUCGAAGCCCCAGUAAACGGCGGCCGUAACUAUAACGGUCCUAAGGUAGCGAAAUUCCUUGUCGGGUAAGUUCCGACCUGCACGAAUGGCAUAAUGAUGGCGGCGCUGUCUCCAGCAGAGGCUCAGUGAAAUCGAAUUCGCCGUGAAGAUGCGGUGUACCCGCGGCUAGACGGAAAGACCCCGUGAACCUUUACUGCAGCUUGACAUUGAACUUUGACCUUACUUGUGUAGGAUAGGUGGGAGGCUUUGAAGUUGGAACGCUAGUUCCAAUGGAGCCGUCCUUGAAAUACCACCCUGGUAAUGUUGAGGUUCUAACUCUGCCCCGUAAUCCGGGGCGAGGACCAUGUCUGGUGGGUAGUUUGACUGGGGCGGUCUCCUCCUAAAGAGUAACGGAGGAGUACGAAGGUGCGCUCAGCGUGGUCGGAAAUCACGCGUAGAGUAUAAAGGCAAAAGCGCGCUUAACUGCGAGACCCACAAGUCGAGCAGGUACGAAAGUAGGUCUUAGUGAUCCGGUGGUUCUGUAUGGAAGGGCCAUCGCUCAACGGAUAAAAGGUACUCUGGGGAUAACAGGCUGAUACCGCCCAAGAGUUCAUAUCGACGGCGGUGUUUGGCACCUCGAUGUCGGCUCAUCUCAUCCUGGGGCUGAAGCAGGUCCCAAGGGUAUGGCUGUUCGCCAUUUAAAGAGGUACGCGAGCUGGGUUUAGAACGUCGUGAGACAGUUCGGUCCCUAUCUACCGUGGGCGCUGGAAAUUUGAGAGGAUCUGCUCCUAGUACGAGAGGACCAGAGUGGACGAACCUCUGGUGUACCGGUUGUCACGCCAGUGGCAUCGCCGGGUAGCUAUGUUCGGAAGGGAUAACCGCUGAAAGCAUCUAAGCGGGAAGCCUACCUCAAGAUAAGAUUUCCCUAGGAAUUUAUUCCUCUAAAGAGCCGUUCGAGACUAGGACGUUGAUAGGUUGGGUGUGGAAGCACGGUGACGUGUGAAGCUGACCAAUACUAAUUGCUCGUGAGGCUUGACUAU